rnacentral:rRNA from 2 species
GGAGACAGGUGGUGCAUGGUUGUCGUCAGCUCGUGUCGUGAGAUGUUGGGUUAAGUCCCGCAACGAGCGCAACCCUUGAUCUUAGUUGCCAGCACUUCGGGUGGGCACUCUAGGAUGACUGCCGGUGACAAACCGGAGGAAGGUGGGGAUGACGUCAAAUCAUCAUGCCCCUUAUGACCUGGGCUACACACGUACUACAAUGGUCGGUACAACGGGAAGCGAAGCCGCGAGGUGGAGCCAAUCCUUAUAAGCCGAUCUCAGUUCGGAUUGCAGGCUGCAACUCGCCUGCAUGAAGUCGGAAUUGCUAGUAAUCGCGGAUCAGCAUGCCGCGGUGAAUACGUUCCCGGGUCUUGUACACACCGCCCGUCACACCACGAGAGUUUACAACACCCGAAGUCGGUGGGGUAACCCGCAAGGGAGCCAGCCGCCGAAGGUGGGGUAGAUGAUUGGGGUGAAGUCGUAACAAGGUAGCCGUAUCGGAAGGUGCGGCUGGAUCACCUCCUUUCUAUGGAGA